rnacentral:rRNA from 1 species
UACAGAGGGUGCAAGCGUUAAUCGGAAUUACUGGGCGUAAAGCGUGCGUAGACGGUUAUUUAAGUCAGGUGCGAAAGCCCAGGGCUCAACCUUGGAAUUGCAUUUGAGACUGAAUAGCUAGGGUGCGGAAGAGGGAAGCGGAAUUUCCGGUGUAGCGGUGAAAUGCGUAGAUAUCGGAAGGAACACCAGUGGCGAAAGCGGCUUCCUGGUCCAGCACCGACGUUCAGGCACGAAAGCGUGGGGAGCAAACAGG